AAUACAAAAAGAUCCAGCCCAAUAAUUCCUAAUCAGCAGCAGCGUACAACAUACCAAAAAACCGACCCAACCCGAUCCACACAGGCGUCUUCUUCCUUAGCGAAAUAGCGAGAACUCAGCGUACAACAGCCAUACCCGGUGACUCUUCUCCAGCAUACAUCAACCUCAGUAGCUACUGAAACGACGCAACAGUACGCCUGCAGCAGCCGCCUCCCUCACGUCUCCUUUUUCCCUCUUUUCGCGGAUGUCACAGCCUUUUCCCAUCCCCUUCACUGUUGCUUCGUAAAGGCCAGAAGAAAUUCAAAUUCAUGUUUGAAUUUUCCAACGGAUUUCCCCCAAAAAUGGCUCCAACUUUCCCUAUAAAUAAGCCUCUACUUUCAGUAAUUAAGGGGACGAAAAAAAUUCGAUUUUGAGGUCAUAUACGAAAAAAUAGUUCACAAGAUGGUUUCGGAGAUUGGAUUCUGUAACUGGUGUUUCUGGGUUUACUGUUUUGGAACUCGGAUUUCCGCCGGAAUUCCUCGUGUGGCAGUCGAAUAGCUCAUUCAAGCUCGUCGUCUCAGUUCGCUGCCCUGAAGAAGGCUUGAUUCGGGACUCUACCAAUUACCGAGUCUCAUAUACUCAACAUUAUCCUCAUACCCGCACAUGGAGUCUUUUCUACAUCUUAAACUACUCGAAAUUGCAAGCAAAUCAAGUGGUCCUAUCUUGGAGUCACUUAUGGCUACUUACAUGUUGCAUUAUUUACUUACGUGUUCCUCUUUACAUGUUAUAUUUGUUUGUGUGAUUUAGAUAUUUUUAGUUUGGAUUCAUAAUAGCUAUGUUAAUAUAGAUGAUUUGGUUUGGGUACCUUCUA